rnacentral:lncRNA from 1 species
GUCCCGUGGCCGAGUGGUUGGGUUCUCCGGCUUUGGCAGCCCAGGGUUUCGCAGGUUUGGAUCCUGGGUGCAGACAUGGUGCCGCUCAUUGGGCCAUAUUGGGGUAGCGUCCAACGUGCCACAACUAGAAGGACCCAAAACUAAAAUAUACAAGAAGAUUAGCCCUCAGCUAACAUCUGCUGCCAAGCUUCCUCCUUUUGCUGAGGAAGACUGGCCCUGAGCUAACAUCCGUGCCCAUCUUCCUCUACUUUGUAUGUGGGAUGGCUGCUACAGCAUGGCUUGCCAGGCAAUGCCAUGUCCUCGCCUGGGAUCUGAACCAGCGAACCCCGGGCCACCAAAGCAGAACAAAUGCACUUAACUGCUACACCACCGGGCCAGCUCUCAUUGUAAUUUUUAAAUUUUUGUUUCUUUUGCAAUGGGCAUAAAAAAAAAUUUUAAAGCUACUCAUUUUUUGCCUUCAAUAAACUUUCUGCUUAGUCAUUUGCAACUUUUUCUCUUGAAUUGUUGAUAUUUCUUACUGAUUUGUUGGGGGCAUCUUUAUAUAUUGGGGUGA